CCAAGUGUUGGUGUCACUAAGCAUAACCCUACGUAACUCAGGAGGGUGGAAGGCCACAAGAGUAUGGAGCCUUCCUGGUUUUAGGCCUCAGCAGACAAGAGUCCCUCCAUGUUUGAACUUUAAUCGACCUAAAAGGCCAGGUGUAGCAGCCGUUAUCAGUUGCAACAGUUCUAACUGGUCUAAAGCAGAAAUAAUGAGGCCUGUGCAUCUUUAGCAGAAGGACAAGAUAACUUGCAGAAGGAAAACUUACUAACGAGCUGCCGCGGCCAAGAUUACUUAAUGCACCUGCGCUUACGUAAUUGCUACAGGGGGAGGAAGGAGGAGGAGGGAGGGGAAACGGGGGAUUGCUAGUCAGUGAGAAAAGUUCUCAUGGAUAUAAAGGAACAGACUGCUUGUUUUAGGUGUGCUUGAUCUGAGUCAAUCUCCCUGCACCGCUUUGAGAUCUCAAAUAAACUUGGUUUGCUUCUCCACCCUGGUGUGUUUAUUGGCGCGGCACACCAGGCGACGGACCCCCCCGCUGUUGCUUGGCCUCAGGCAGUUAUCUGCCGGCAACAGUUCUUGGCGCCCAACGUGGGGCAUUGAGGCUAAAAUUAGCCUUGCCUGGAUCCCUUCUGGUGGUCGACGGAUUGCGGCGACGACCGACGCCCAGCGCGCACCGGUGACUUCACCGGGGGCCUCGGCGGAGACGCAGUUCGACUGACCCCAGAGGGCACAACGGUGCAACGCGCUCGAGUAGUGGAGAAGCAGUUGAGGGCGACGGUGAGGAACCGGUCCCUUGGAUAAGCUUAACUGUCCAGUAAGAUCCAACAGUGUGCCUUUGUGACCCCGGAGCCGGUGUGGCUUGGUGACACUGAAGAAGCCGCAGGCAGCUGACCUGGACUGGAAUCUCUGAAAGAGAUGCUGCAGAAGAUUCCAGGGUGCAAGAGAACAGCCCUCCAAAGAGCGGAAGCAUGUUAGAAAUUCUGGACAAGCUGUAUACAGGAUAAUCUCCAGUUCACCUCUCCCCCCUUCUCUGAACAUUAUACACAGAAGUGGCCAGUCUGGACGUACGUGUGUGGGUAUGAAAGGGGCUUGGGGCAUUAAUGUUUUCCUGAGUGAUGAGGGAGCGUUCCCAACACUCUCCGUUGUUGUUUUAUUAUUUUAUUAAUGGAGCUUUAAAAUACAGUUAUAUGGUGUGUUUUCUUUAUCUUCCCCCAACGAUCCUGUAGUGUCAGCCUGAUCACCUGACACGAGGGAUAGAUUGGUAACAGAAAUUUGUCACAGUUUGGUGAGCAAUUAAGAAGGGGGGAGCCCUGCAGAAUUUACACCAUCUAUUUGUUUUACCCUUGUUAUUUUGUGUUUGCUUUGCUUGGUACUGUUGGUGUUAUAUGUUGAGAACUGCAUGAGUAAAAGUGAGUCCUAAUAGGAUAAGAAAACGCUAUCUGGUUCUGGUUCUGUUCUGUUUAACCGGUUACUGUUGUUUUUCUGCUCUGUUCAUUUGGGCGUUAGGAGUGUGGGCAGAACUGAACCUCUUGUUCGUAAUUCCUCGGAGUGGAAGCCAUGUGUGCGAGAAAGUUCUGAGGUUGAAUUGAGAUCCUUCUGUCCUGUCCCCUGUAGCGGUCAGUGUAUAGAAGUGGGAAAGUCUGGCUUAGACUGUAAUUCCCUCUGCUCUCUGUGUAAUUCUCUUUUCUGUUUAAGUGUCAAACAGAUGAAUGAGUCUCUGGGUAAACCCUCUAAGAAUAGUCCUUUAAAUUAUAUGUUAAGUAAAUGGCCUUUGCCCAAUGGGCCAUGUGUUUUUGUCCAGGUGGCAAGCCUCAUGAAGGAGGACUCGGGUAGUCUUGUGAGUAAGAAUGUUUAAGGGAAGAGACCAGGAGGGGUGGGGGCUAGAUGAGAAGCCCACCCUCCUAGCUAAACUGGUAGUGGAACAAGUUGGUGCCCAUGGAAGGGACGGUUCAGCAAGAAAAGCAGGAUCGGGCCCAGGCGGGCAGGCAACA